AUUGAACGCUGGCGGCAGGCCUAACACAUGCAAGUCGAGCGGAUGAGUGGAGCUUGCUCCAUGAUUCAGCGGCGGACGGGUGAGUAAUGCCUAGGAAUCUGCCUGGUAGUGGGGGACAACGUUUCGAAAGGAACGCUAAUACCGCAUACGUCCUACGGGAGAAAGCAGGGGACCUUCGGGCCUUGCGCUAUCAGAUGAGCCUAGGUCGGAUUAGCUAGUAGGUGAGGUAAUGGCUCACCUAGGCGACGAUCCGUAACUGGUCUGAGAGGAUGAUCAGUCACACUGGAACUGAGACACGGUCCAGACUCCCUACGGGAGGCAGCAGUGGGGGAAUAUUGGACAAUGGGCGAAAGCCUGAUCCAGCCAUGCCGCGUGUGUGAAGAAGGUCUUCGGAUUGUAAAGCACUUUAAGUUGGGAGGAAGGGC
rnacentral:rRNA from 1 species